rnacentral:rRNA from 1 species
UACGGAGGAUCCAAGCGUUAUCCGGAUUUAUUGGGUUUAAAGGGUGCGUAGGCGGCCUGUUAAGUCAGGGGUGAAAGACGGUAGCUCAACUAUCGCAGUGCCCUUGAUACUGAUGGGCUUGAAUAUACUAGAGGUAGGCGGAAUGAGACAAGUAGCGGUGAAAUGCAUAGAUAUGUCUCAGAACACCGAUUGCGAAGGCAGCUUACUAUGGUAUUAUUGACGCUGAGGCACGAAAGCGUGGGGAUCGAACAGG